CUAUGACUCUCUUAAGGUAGCCAAAUGCCUCGUCAGAUAACUACUGACGCGCAUGAAUGGAUUAACGAGGUUCCUACUGUCCCUAUCUACUAUCUAGCGAAACCGCAGUCAAGGGAACGGACUUGAAAAUAUCAGCGGGGAAAGAAGACCCUGUUGAGCUUGACUCUAAUCUUGUAUUGUAGAGAAACAUAUCUGGUGUAGUAUAGGAAGGAGGUUAAUCGCCGCAAAUGAAAUACUUCCACAGCUAUCGUUUCUCUUCUAACUCACAGAGAGCAGUAUACAUCAUUUUUGAUGUUUGUUU
rnacentral:rRNA from 14 species